GGUGCUAUAGUGUAGUGGUUAUCACUGAGGAUUUUGAUUACAUAUUAGAAUUCCUCGAACCCAGGUUCGAUCCCUGGUAGCACCU
rfam:Hebeloma cylindrosporum h7 unplaced genomic scaffold scaffold_14, whole genome shotgun sequence.